ACUUCCCAGUUUCAGAAUAAAACUGAUCACCGGGCCUAUUCUAUUUUUGUGAGAUUGUUAAUUUCAAACUUCGAUAAAUCUACUGGGAAAAUAUCGGAUAAAUAGUUCGUAUUCACGGGCUAGUGACGCCACAGCAUCCAUCGUUGGCGGAUUCACCGAAACUUGUAGGAGAAAGGCACACGCACGCUUGUACUUCUCUCAGUCCGAAUCGGAAUUACACAUCAAAAAUAGACUCUGUUUCAGAUUCAAUUCGCGCCGAAAGACUGGAAUAAAAGCAGUUUGCCGUCUAAAACCAAAAGCUGUACAUCUCACGAAGUCAAGGUAAGGCUGUGCAGACAGUACAAUACCACAAUGUACAUGUACAUGUACAGGCCUGUGUCGAGAAUGAAGUCAUGCGGUACAGUGGACAUGGCAACGGUAAGUUACGAACUUUUAUUGUAACUGUAGUAAGUAAAGAAGUAGGCCCGGGAUAAUUUCUUUCUUUUAAGAAGUUUAGACUUGAACUAGGUCAGUCCUGUUGUGUUCUGGAAAGUUCUCAAUAUGUAAAUCUUCAGCGUAAACAUUGACUUCAGCUUCGAACACAACUACUACUAGGCCCAAGAUCAGUGUCAAUUGAACUAGUGUUGUACAAAGGCCUGUAGCCUCCGAGAACGAAACCAGGUCCCCCAGGUAUACGGGCAACAGAAGAAACGAGAGAUGAGAAAGGAAAAGAAGAUGACAGAAGAGGAAAAGGAAUAAUAAA